UCUGCCUCAGCGUCGGAA
rnacentral:rRNA from 1 species